UCUCCUGGAACUCAGGUAGAUGCACACCAACAUCCCUUUGCAACUGGCACAAUAAGGAACCAGGAAGUGAAGCCCAGGGAACAGAGAUCAUUCCACAGAGAGGGGCUGGCCGGAGGAGAAGCACAUUCAACAAAAGCCCUGAGAUUGGACAUCUGGGAAAACCCUGAAAAGGAUAAAACAAAAUGGGGUCUGGAGGCCAAAGCUUUGGAGAUGAAUUGGAAAACCAGAUCAAUGAUGCUCUGAGCAAGCUGGCAAGCAAAAACCCAUUCCAGUCUGACUGGGACAUUGCUGCUUUUGCCAUUUUCUUCAUCUUCAUUGGUACGGUGCUCUUGCUGGUGCUCCUGGCUCUUAUCCGUUGUUGUUGCUGCUGCUGCUGUGACUGUGACUCCCCCAGACACAAGAAGAUUCCCCGGACCAAAGUGGGCAUUGAUAACUUGGGCAUGGAGCCAUAGCCCCCCCCCCCCCCACCACCACCAAACCCUAGGACACAUGGAUUGCGAACCCAAUGGAUUCUCUUCUUGGCUGGCUUCUUCUUGCUACAAAGAAAUCUCUUGCAGAUUGGACUUUGCACUAAUUGUGAGUGCCAGACCUGCUGGAGUUGGCUGGGGUCUUGGCUACACACAGCCCCACUGCAGCACAUGCUCUUCCUUCUCUCUCUAUAAUGGUGAAGAUCAAGCACUGAAUAUAGCUGACAUCCACUGGGGCUAGGGACAGACAUUACACAUAAACUGGUUUAAGUGAUCAGAAACUGGUUUAAAUCUGUAACAGAUGUUCAGUGCACAUAAACUAGUUUGAGAUAAACCUGGUUGAAUCAGACUUAACUGAUUUGGCUCAAAAUGUUUAUUCAAUGUCUGUCCCAGACCCCUUGGUGGUUUAAGAUAAACCAGACACCCCCAGCAUUCCAGCAUGCUCUCUGCUCUCUGGCUGCAGCUCUGGCAGAAACUUGCAGGCACAGAGCAUCUGCCUGGCUUCUCCCUGCUAAGCAGGAAUUAUUCCUCCAUCACCUCUGCCUUACACAAACACUUCAGCAUUAGCUAGCAGACCACACACUGGCUAAGGUCCUUGCUAUGGGAGAGGACAGAGGCAGACAGGCUUUUUGGAGCUAAUCAACAGGCAGCUUAAUGUCCUUCCUUGGAAGAGCUGUUAAAAGAAGAGCUCCAUUAAUUAAUGGAGAGAGGCUUUGUUUUCUUAAUGAGUUGAUAAACACUGAGUUAGGGUUGAUAAACAUUCCCUGCUGGGCAGCCGGGGGGGAAUCUUGCUGGGGCCCCCCUCAGCUCUGCCCUGUGGAAACAAAGGGAGGGCUGCUCUAGUGACCCCCCGCUUCUAGCCUGAGCCAAUGCAGGCAUGUCCCCGCAUUUCUGGGAUGUCUGUCUGGGUUAUAAACUGAUUUAGUGUGGCCAGGUUAGACUAAUCUGCAAAAAUUAAAGCCAUUCAGGCUCAGGCUUUUUGAAUGUCUGUCCCUAGCCCUACAGUGAUUGACAGUUGUAUAAUGAGAGCUGUUUGCUGCAGGACAUGAGCUGGUCAACCUGGGGAAAGAGAAUCUGCCUCCCCCACCAGACUGAUAGAGUAGGGCAUAUUGCAGGGGUUUUACCGCUUCCUCCAAAGCAAACCUUAUUUGGCCACUGUUGGAGACUGAAUCUCAGCCCCUGUGCCCAUGGAAAAGGCAGUGUGCGCACAUCCCAGUGUCAGCCAUAUUAGCAGAGAGCCCCAGCUCUGAGUAAGGAGGUGCAGGCUGGAGCAGAGACAACGCCAUGCUCUGGAGGGUACAAAGGGAAUUAAAAGGUUGUCUUGGGUAGAAAAAUAACCCACCACACAUGACAAGCUGGUAAUACCAGCUGUUGCCUCCUUGGCCAACUUGCCACAAACCUUCAGUCCCAGCACUUAGGAACUUGCAGAGCACACAACUAGUAAACAGGUCCCUUUUAGCCCCCCUCCUCCCCAUUUGCAAAUCAUAAGAAUAUAAGAACUGCCAUUCACUGGGUCAAACCAUAGGUCCAUCUUGUCCAGUAUCCCAUGUGACACAGUGGCAGAGAGCAGCUGCUGAAAGCGUUUGAAUCUGCCUUACAAAGCACAGGGAAACCAGUCAGUGAAAGGACUGCUCUGGGCAGGAAAAUGGCUUCCGGUUUUUCCAACAGGCCCUUUAAAAUCAGCCUCUAGGGACCAUGUGGGAUUUCGAAGAACAUGCUUCUCUUCCUUCUGAACAAGGCUUUCCCUUUUUUCAUUUUAUGCUAGAUCCUUUCCCCUUUUCCUGAGCACCCUUGAGGGCAUAAUCUUUGUACAACAGCUGCCAAGCACAUCCAAUAUGCAGUACCCUUUGCUCUUUCCAUCCAGCUUUUCAUAGCUCCCUUUAGCACUCGCUUGGGCCAGUACAGAGAGCAUCACCUACAGGAAACAAAAGGGCCCCUUCUGCCACUGCAGUGGAAGCUGAAUCCCAGGCCCUCUCCCCCUGCUGCAAUGGAAGGCAUACUCCAAACUGCUGGCGAUAAUUUAAGAGCCCCUUUGGUUGGAAGUUUUGCCGGUUUCAGCAGCCUUCCCUCUCCGAGACUCGGCCCAUUGCUGCUAAUUAAUGCCUUAUGACCAGAGCUUUGCAGGCUAGCUAGAGUCAAGCUCCAGGAGUGGUGCGAGUAUGGGGACACCCUUCCUGCUGACAACUUCUCUCUGCCUUCCUGACUACCUUCUCCCACCCAGCCCUCCAUGUAUCUACUAACACUUCUGAAAGAACCCAACUGUAGCAUGCUGAAGUUAUCCUGAGCAUCUCAAGCCAACAAUCUGUACUGUAUAUAAAUACUUUGUUUUCAGAGCCAAAUUCAAGAAACACUUGUGAUUACAAUAAAACACAUGCUUAGUGUGGA